AAUGAACGUUGGCGGCGUGGAUUAGGCAUGCAAGUCGUGCGGAAGUGGCCCGCAAGGGUUACUUUAGCGGCGAAAGGGAGAGUAAUACGUAGGUACCUACCCCUGGAACCGGGAUAGCUGCGGGAAACUGCAGGUAAUACCGGAUAACGUCUCCGGACCAAAGGUGUGAUUCCGUCCGGGGAGGGGCCUGCGUCCUAUUAGCUAGUUGGUGAGGUGAUGGCUCACCAAGGCAAAGACGGGUACGGGGUAUGAGAGUAUGACCCCGCUCACUGGGACUGAGACACUGCCCAGACACCUACGGGUGGCUGCAGUCGAGGAUCUUCGGCAAUGGGGGAAACCCUGACCGAGCGACGCCGCGUGUGGGAUGAAGGCCCUCGGGUUGUAAACCACUGUCAGAGGGGAUGAAAUGCUAUGGGGUUCUCUCCAUAGUUUGACAUAUCCUCAGAGGAAGGACGGGCUAAGUUCGUGCCAGCCGCCGCAGUAA
rnacentral:rRNA from 1 species